CGAGGUUCCUGGAACCUCGUAAAAAAAUCUGGGAAUCUUCACAACUGCCAACGACAACUUGGCCCUGGCUGCGUAACCUACGCUCAGCGUAGUGAUAUGCACCUGCCUGAAUCGGAGAGCUCCUGACCCGCCGACCAGGUAUUGCAAAUUCGGGAUAGCGGUUGGAGGCGGUUUCCCUUCAGUCGCGAAACUCUAGAGACCUUGUCCUGCCGUAGCCCCGCCUUCCGGGUCGCGGCUGGAGAGACAAAGACGGAAGGCUACGCACGUAGAUGCCGUGGUGAAUCUUGCUUCGGACCGGGGUUCGAAUCCCCGCGCCUCCACUG
rnacentral:tmRNA from 1 species